GUCCCACCUCUCAUCAUUGCCUCCAUAGCUGCUGCAAGCCUGCACUGGGCAGCAGAGCAGCAGCACAGGCUGUCACCCUCCCAGCCCCUACCCCAGCAGAAGAAUUUGAAGUCUUCUUAGCACACUUCUGGCUCAGGCUGCCUCCUGACAGCAAACCAGGCUGUGCCCUGUGCCCACACGUCUGUGGGGAUAGGUACAGACAGCCUGAGCCUUUCCUCUUCGGCACGUUCCCUGUCUCACCCUGCAGCACAGACUGGGCGAUGGCCGAAUGUGAUCCUGAAAACAAAGAAGCCAACUGUAAAGGAGCAAAAUAUAAAUGUUUAAUUUUAGGCUCUUCUACCUUAAGUAAUAGUGGCCACUGCAAGAUACAGAGCCAUUUCAAAGACAUAGAAUCAUAGAAUCACAGAAUGGCUUGGGCUGGAAGGGACCCAAAGCCACCCCUGCCCCAGCUCCUGCUGUGGGCUGGGUGUCCCCCACCAGCUCAGGCUGCCCAGGGCCCAUCCAACCUGGCCUUGGGCACCUCCAGGGUUGUGACACCCACAGCUCUGGGCAGCACUGUCAGUGCCUCAUUGCCCUCUGAGUAAAGAAUUUCCUCCUCACAUCUAACCUAAAUCUUCCCUCUGGUAGUUAAAUGCCAUUCUCCCUUGCCCUAUCACUAUCAGACCAUGUACAAAGUCACUCCCUCUCCUGCCUGUAAGCUCCCUUCAAGUACUGGAAGGCCGCAAAGUCAGAACCACCUUCGAGGCAUUGUCUGUUUUGCCUUUUCUAAUCAGUGUUUAAUGAUUAACAGACGAGUAAGUGCGGUAUAAGGAGUGCUGCCUGCGUUGGAGCUGCCCGGGCUGACCACCAGAGCUUCAGGACAGAUUCUGCAUGCCCGGCUUCCCGUUCUUCCCAGGCACAAAUGGAUCCACCUUCUGCGUGCGCUGAAAUAGCUGAAACCAAGCUCAUCUACCGCGCCCCUGUUGCCAGCCUGCAGAGCCCAGUAAGUUCAUCUUCCGAACAGCAGCAGCUGGCUCUGUGAGCUGUUUCUGGAGUGCAGCUCGGCAGUGACUCAUCUCUCCUGGAGCCCAUCUCGCUGCACUUCUCCCCCAGCGAGUCAUUUCUGUCGCUCUGACCGUUGCCCCGCUCUCGGGUUUGCUCAGCCAACGCAGCCCAGGAGGGGCUCUCGAGGCGGGAUGCCAGGGCUGGGCAGAUAACCGGCAGCGGCGGCACCGACUUGCAGUCCACUGUUCCCAGGAUUGGCCUCCUGCUGGGGACCCGCCGGGGUGGGCUCGUGGGGAGGCAUUGCAGCAAAGCAGCUGGAAGUGCUGAGUCCUCGUGUGUCAGCCCCCAGCAGGGUUGCUGUGUAUCUGUAACAGAAAGAGGUUAAGGGAGGGGAGGGAGGGAGGGAGGGAGGGAGGGAGGGAGGAGGAAAACCAUUGGCUAUUAAUAGCAAAUAUGAGUAGCAGCUUUAUUUUGAAUGCCUUCUUUAAUUAGCGAUGUGCAAGAAGGCUCACAAUGCGCAUUACCUGCUGACUUGCCACGUAUAGAUCCGAGAGAGGCCGACAGAUGAAACACACUUUGCGAAGCAGGGGAGUUUUAAGUAGGCAGAGCUAAACAUCCAAACUCAAAAACAACCCGGGGGUAUCGCUCAGACAGCCUCAGCGCCAGCCUGGGCUCAGGGAAUUCAGCCCCCUCCCCAGCCCCAACCGCCCGCAUUGGGUUUCCUCACUGCUCUCAUUUCACUCCUUGUCUUUGUGCCUGUGUGGAUGGGAAGUCCCCUGAGACAGCAGCAGUCACAUUCAGCAUCGCGGUGCCCAGCACAAAUGUGUCCUGCCGUUGGAGGGACCCCCACUCUUGCAACACAGCCCUACGCAGUGGCUCUCCAGCAGAGCGUUACGUUUGCCUUUGUGUUUUCCGUACCUCCAAGAAGGUCAGCAACAACCAGAAGGUGAUCCAGGGCUAGGAGGCAGCAGGGCAAGCUCGCUUCCUUGGCUCUGUAGGUCACAGCUGGGCCCAGGAGCCCAGCUAGACACUACUAAUGCAUUCAGUCGGGGGGGGGGGGAGGACUCAAACAAACAAAUAAAUAAAUAAAGCUCAGAUGCUCGUGGUAAUUAUUUACAUAUUUGCACCUUGCUUUAAAGCAUUCCACGCCGGGUGGCAAAUCCUCCUUCUCAUGGAAGGAGCACUCCGCAGGUAUGCGUGCUAUUGAGCUGCUAAGCGGCAGCGGCAGCCCCAAGGGGAGGUCCGGCAGGCAGACAGCUGCAGCAAAGACGGGCGGCUGCCAGGUGGAGGCGGAGCUCCUCCUCUCCCAUGGAGGUAGUUCUAUGGGAACGCUGAGUCACCUGCUCCCCGCAUAAAGGAGCUGGAGAAACGGCUCUGCUGUGACUGUCCUGCUGCUUACCUUCACUAACAGGAGGAGAUGUACCAAGAUAUACCACUGAAAGGUAGUUUUCAUCAUAACAAGCCUAAUUCCUUUCAGGAUAUAAGGAGAAAAGUUUCCUACCACGAUGUAAUUUAUCCCUUACUACCUAUACUGUUAAUAUUUCCAAAAGUGAUUUCAAAAGCAGAAAACUAAUACAAGUAACACUGCAUUUAAGAAUAUAAAUUGUAUAUAAAAAUACAUCUGCAGUAAAAGAGGUUACAGUACCUAUCCAGAUGAAGUGCCACAACAAGGCCACAGGCUGCAGCUCGGGAGGCUCAGGAUGGGUGCUGGGAACGCUCUGGGGGCUGUGGUAGCUAUGUUCUUGGGUGGGUACUACAGCAUGGUACUGCCCAGGAAGGUCAUUGUAUUCUUACCCUUAGAGGCUUUCGGGAUUUGGCUAAAGGAAACUGCUGCUGUGCUGCUGCAGCGCUGGUGAUGGGGCUGCUUUGAGUGGGAUGCUGGAAAUGCCCUCUGGAGGUUUCCUCCAACCACUUCUAGGAAUGAGGCAGCAGCUACCAAGGAGGCAGCCUUAUCGGAGCUAAGGCUCCUGGUACUGCUCCAGAAGCAC
ensembl:lncRNA